rnacentral:rRNA from 1 species
AGUUUCUAAGUUUAGCUAAUGUUGCCCGUACCGUAAACCGACACAGGUGGGUGGGAUGAGUAUUCUAAGGCGCGUGGAAGAACUCUCUUUAAGGAACUCUGCAAAAUAGCACCGUAUCUUCGGUAUAAGGUGUGGUUAGCUUCGUACUAGGAUUUACUCCGAAAGCGAAGAAACUUACAACAAAGAGUCCCUCCCGACUGUUUACCAAAAACACAGCACUCUGCUAACUCGUAAGAGGAUGUAUAGGGUGUGACGCCUGCCCGGUGCUCGAAGGUUAAUUGAUGGGGUUAGCAUUAGCGAAGCUCUUGAUCGAAGCCCGAGUAAACGGCGGCCGUAACUAUAACGGUCCUAAGGUAGCGAAAUUCCUUGUCGGUUAAAUACCGACCUGCAUGAAUGGCGUAACGAGAUGGGAGCUGUCUCAAAGAGGGAUCCAGUGAAAUUGUAGUGGAGGUGAAAAUUCCUCCUACCCGCGGCAAGACGGAAAGACCCCGUGGACCUUUACUACAGCUUGACACUGCUACUUGGAUAAGAAUGUGCAGGAUAGGUGGGAGGCUUUGAGUAUAUGACGCCAGUUGUAUAUGAGCCAUUGUUGAGAUACCACUCUUUCUUAUUUGGGUAGCUAACCGGCUUGAGUUAUCCUCAAGUGGGACAAUGUCUGGUGGGUAGUUUGACUGGGGCGGUCGCCUCCCAAAUAAUAACGGAGGCUUACAAAGGUUGGCUCAGAACGGUUGGAAAUCGUUCGUAGAGUAUAAAGGUAUAAGCCAGCUUAACUGCAAGACAUACAAGUCAAGCAGAGACGAAAGUCGGUCUUAGUGAUCCGGUGGUUCUGUGUGGAAGGGCCAUCGCUCAAAGGAUAAAAGGUACCCCGGGGAUAACAGGCUGAUCUCCCCCAAGAGCUCACAUCGACGGGGAGGUUUGGCACCUCGAUGUCGGCUCAUCGCAUCCUGGGGCUGGAGCAGGUCCCAAGGGUAUGGCUGUUCGCCAUUUAAAGCGGUACGCGAGCUGGGUUCAGAACGUCGUGAGACAGUUCGGUCCCUAUCUGCCGUGGGCGUAAGAAGAUUGAAGAGAUUUGACCCUAGUACGAGAGGACCGGGUUGAACAAACCACUGGUGUAGCUGUUGUUCUGCCAAGAGCAUCGCAGCGUAGCUAAGUUUGGAAAGGAUAAACGCUGAAAGCAUCUAAGCGUGAAGCCAACUCUAAGAUGAAUCUUCUCUAAGCUCUCUAGAAGACUACUAGUUUGAUAGGCUGGGUGUGUAAUGGAUGAAAGUCCUUUAGCUGACCAGUACUAAUAGAGCGUUUGGCUUAUCUUUAAUAAAGCAU